rnacentral:rRNA from 1 species
GCUCCCUUAGGUCAGCGGCGGACGGGUGAGUAACACGUGGGUAACCUGCCUGUAAGACUGGGAUAACUCCGGGAAACCGGGGCUAAUACCGGAUGCUUGAUUGAACCGCAUGGUUCAAUCAUAAAAGGUGGCUUUUAGCUACCACUUACAGAUGGACCCGCGGCGCAUUAGCUAGUUGGUGAGGUAACGGCUCACCAAGGCGACGAUGCGUAGCCGACCUGAGAGGGUGAUCGGCCACACUGGGACUGAAACACGGCCCAAACUCCUACGGGAGGCAGCAGUAGGGAAUCUUCCGCAAUGGACGAAAGUCUGACGGAACAACGCCGCGUGAGUGAUGAAGGUUUUCGGAUCGUAAAACUCUGUUGUUAGGGAAGAACAAGUACCGUUCGAAUAGGGCGGUACCUUGACGGUACCUAACCAGAAAGCCACGGCUAACUACGUGCCAGCAGCCGCGGUAAUACGUAGGUGGCAAGCGUUGUCCGGAAUUAUUGGGCGUAAAGCGCGCGCAGGCGGUUUCUUAAGUCUGAUGUGAAAGCCCCCGGCUCAACCGGGGAGGGUCAUUGGAAACUGGGGAACUUGAGUGCAGAAGAGGAGAGUGGAAUUCCACGUGUAGCGGUGAAAUGCGUAGAGAUGUGGAGGAACACCAGUGGCGAAGGCGACUCUCU